rnacentral:rRNA from 1 species
GGGGGGACGCAGUAGGAUAGGCGAAGCGUGCGAUUGGGUUGCACGUCUAAGCAGUCAGGCUGAGUAUUAGGCAAAUCCGGUACUCGUUAAGGCUGAGCUGUGAUGGGGAGAAGACAUUGUGUCUUCGAGUCGUUGAUUUCACACUGCCGAGAAAAGCCUCUAGAUAGAAAAUAGGUGCCCGUACCGCAAACCGACACAGGUAGGCAAGAUGAGAAUUCUAAGGUGAGCGAGCGAACUCUCGUUAAGGAACUCGGCAAAAUGACCCCGUAACUUCGGGAGAAGGGGUGCUCUUUAGGGUUAACGCCCAGAAGAGCCGCAGUGAAUAGGCCCAAGCGACUGUUUAUCAAAAACACAGGUCUCUGCUAAACCGUAAGG